CCGUGCCGGCGAGUGGCGAACGGGGUGAGUAAUGCAUCGGAACGUGCCCAUGUCGUGGGGGAUAACGUAGCGAAAGCUACGCUAAUACCGCAUACGUCCUGAGGGAGAAAGCGGGGGGAUCUUCGGACCUCGCGCGAUUGGAGCGGCCGAUGUCGGAUUAGCUAGUAGGUGAGGUAAAGGCUCACCUAGGCGACGAUCCGUAGCGGGUCUGAGAGGAUGAUCCGCCACACUGGGACUGAGACACGGCCCAGACUCCUACGGGAGGCAGCAGUGGGGAAUUUUGGACAAUGGGCGCAAGCCUGAUCCAGCCAUGCCGCGUGAGUGAAGAAAGGCCUUCGGGUUGUAAAGCUCUUUCGGCCGGGAAGAAAAUCGUGUUCUCUAACAUAGGACAUGGAUGACGGUACCGGACUAAGAAGCACCGGCUAACUACGUGCCAGCAGCCGACGGUAAUACGUAGGGUGCGAGCGUUAAUCGGAAUUACUGGGCGUAAAGCGUGCGACAGGCGGUUUUGUAAGACAGAUGUGAAAUCCCCGGGC
rnacentral:rRNA from 1 species